AACGAACGCUGGCGGCAGGCUUAACACAUGCAAGUCGAACGAGAUCUUCGGAUCUAGUGGCAGACGGGUGAGGAACACGUGGGAACAUCCCUUCCAGUUCGGAAUAACGUUGGGAAACUAACGCUAAUACCGGAUACGUCCUUCGGGAGAAAGAUUUAUCCCUGAAAGAUUGGCCCGCGUCUGAUUAGCUAGUUGGUGAGGUAACGGCUCACCAAGGCUACGAUCAGUAGCUGAUCUGAGAGGAUGAUCAGCCACAUUGGGACUGAGACACGGCCCAAACUCCUACGGGAGGCAGCAGUGGGGAAUAUUGGACAAUGGGCGCAAGCCUGAUCCAGCCAUGCCGCGUGAGUGAUGACGGCCUUCGGGUUGUAAAGCUCUUUUGUCCGGGAAGAUAAUGACUGUACCGGAAGAAUAAGCCCCGGCAAACUUCGUGCCAGCAGCCGCCGUAA
rnacentral:rRNA from 1 species